ACUGAUUAUUAUACUCUUCCUCUUUAUAAAACUCUGCUGCUAUAGUCCCUAAGUUGCUGGCUAAGUAUUUUGGAGACACUUUGGUCCAGCAUGGAGAUUGAUUUAUAUUUCUCAGACUGUCAUUUCCUAACUUUGCAAUGUUCUUCUUGACUGGACAGGAUACAAGUUCUAGAUAAAGGUUUUUUUUUUUUUAAUAAACUUUGCAUUUUCUAAUACAAAAGAAAGAAUACAAGAUUAAAGAUAAACAUUUUUGCAAACAGAUUUCCUGGAAAUUCCAGUAUGUUUGAGCACUGAAGAUAUGGCUAUAGAAUUAAUAGACUCAGUAAAAAAUUGUCACUUGUUAAAAAGAUAGUUAAUAAGAAUUGACUAAAUAUAUGUGAGAUUUGAAUCUGCAGGUGUAUUGUAACCUAAAAAGGAGAACUUUGCACAUAUGUUGCUGAUGGACUUCAAGGAAUUAGAGGAAAUAGAGAUAUUUUCUACACCUGAGGAAAAAAGAUGAUAUCCUCAGUUUUUAACUAAAAUAUUGUCUAUGUAAGAUUCUUCUUUCCUCUUGAGGUAAUGUUAAAAUAAAUGUUCUGGUUGAUUGGUAAUAUAGAAAAUGAAAUAAUUUACCUUCAAUUUGGGAAGAGAAUCCUCUCUAGUGAAUAUAAGUGGCAAAUAGGAAAGUCUCUGUAGCAUAAAAGUGAUUUGAUACUCGAUUCAGAGUUGGGAGGCAUCUGUUGGAUGCUGUCUUGCUACUUGUUAACCAUUUAUCCUUAGGAAUAUUGUGAAACGGUAUCCUCUAUCUUCAUAUUUGAAGUGAAGUCAGUGAUACCACCAUAGGAUAGUUAGGGAUAAAUUAAAUACAAUGUGACUUCAUUUCUAGCAUAUAAGAAGCAUUCAUUAAGUAUUUAUUGACAUUACCUCUUUCUAAAAUCUGGCUGGAAUGACCCAUGAAACAAUUCAGUUUGUUUGUUUUGAUACUGUGAGAGCCAUCCUUGUCUGUUUCACCACAGCAUAGAGGUACCACUUCCUAUCAUAUUACUAACAGAGACAUAUGCUAGCAUUCCCAGAUGAUGCUGAUCUAUCUGGGUGAAAUAGUGAAAGCUACAAAGAUGUGCAAUUUGAAAAAAGCCUCUCAACUGAUUCUGCUAUGAUUCUUUCUAAUUGGAAAGUUAGCAUAAUUACACAUUUUUUUCUGAAGUACAUUGAUGACAAGAAGAGGGCCUGUGAACGAAUUGCACAAUUUGUCUGACUCUAGAAAUAUACACAGUGUAAUUGUCACAUUAUUAUUGUGGAUUAUAAAUUAAUCGCUCAUCAUCUUCAGGUGAGCUAUUAAGAUUAAAGCCAGUAGACUUGAGGACUCAGAGCAUCAAUGUGGUGUGGCCAGGGAACUGAUUUUUUUUCUUUCACUUAUUUUAAUCUACUUUUUUGCCCAGAAAUGGACUAUACUUUUCCCUUGAAAUCUGCACUGUCCAAUUGGCCAGCCAUCUCAAACCAGAGAUAGUCUUAGGCAUAGUUUUAAUGACAUCCCAUCAGUGGAAUGAGAAGUCCUUUCUCGAAGACUACUUACUGGUUUUAACAAAAGGGGGAAAAGUUUAAUAAUAGAGAUUGGACUUUUAAGUAUGUUGUUUUUCUUGGGCACAUUGUAUAUGCUGAAAAGUUAAUGCUGUUUUUAAAGUUAAUUCAUGAUAAUUGAACUGAAGUGCUGGGAAAGUGCUGUUAGAGAGUCUAUUUAUGAACCUGUGCCCUCUUUGUCAAUUCAGUAAAAGCACUGCUCCGGGAAAGAAAGGAGAGUGAGCUGACUGCAUGGUGUGCACUUAGUCAUAUGUGCCUCCUUCUCCCCGAAAGUAUCUGUUUUUCUAAGUGCUGCUUUCCUUUUAAUCCGUCCACCUCAUUGAGUCAGCAGGCCUGCUAGCCCCAUUAUCACUCUACUUUGAAGUCCAGGAAGGGCUGCUAAAAUGUAUUUUGGUAGUGACUCACUGCAAAUCCCUUUUGUUGCUCUGAGGUGUAGAUCAGAGUGGACAAGAUGAAUUGGGGGAGGAGAAUGUGUGGGGACCAGUGAAUUAAAUAAACUACUGUUUAGAUGAUCACAUUGACAGGUAUUUUAAGUAAAUACAAUUUCCAGUCUUUGUUGGGCUGUGGGAUAUUGUUUUCUCCUGAUUGCUGCUGGGGGCGAAGCCUUUGUAGGAAGCUACACUUUUCCCCAGCAAUUCCAUUUUAUAAUGAAUGGCUAAAAUUUGGUAACAACUUUUAUCUUCAACCAUAGCAGGUUAAUUGGCCUAUGCUCUAUUCAAACACUGGGAUACCAAGAGAGCAUUAAAAUGGUUAUUUCAGGUAAUAUUCAAUUACAUCCUGAUAAGUUACAUGAAAACAAAGAGUAAAAGACCAUAUAGUAGUUUUUGUUCCUUUAAAAAAAUAUUUAUGUAUAAGAAAUGAGACAGCUAGAAUAUGCAGAUAAUAGUAACAGUAAAUUUUUGGUGAUGAGAUUUGACAUUGCCUUCCUUGCUUUCCUCAUUACCUUCAACAAGUAUGAAUUAUAAGAAAUUAUAAUAAAGUUAUGAGAAAAUUAUAAACAAAUAACUUUUAAAAAGAGUACGUACAUGUCAAAGAAAUCAUGCUUAUAAGCAAAAAGAAAUUAGAAAGCAGGAAAGGCUGAUUACAGUAUAUUUCUAAUUAAUUACCCAACUGUAUUAUUACACUUUUCCUAAGAAUUGAGCCUUCCAGAAGCCUCUUUGCAAAUAAAAUGAUAUUAAAGGAGAAACAUAUAUCGACCAAGAACAUGUAAUUGUGAAAGAAAUGUAGAAACAGUAUCAGUGUGUAAAGUCAAAAAAUAAUUGAAUCCACAGUUGUUUCAUAACCUGAAAGCAAAAUCACAUGGCAAUUCUUUAGAGGUGAUAAAUUGGAGUAUGUUAUUGUGUGUAAAACUGUUUUAAAAGACUUGAAAUACAAAAUAUUUAUAAUAAAAAUUAUUUCAUGAACCAACAAUAUCAUGCAAGCAAAGACAGCUUCAGCUUAUGGGGGAAUUGGCUGAGGUGCUCACAACACCGCAGUUUAAAAAUGGUUAGUCUGGGAGUUGGUCUGGAGGUGAUGGAAAGAACAAGGAGUCAGAAUGGCUUUCUGUUCACUUCAUUGGAUUGUGUGACUUCUUUGGACCUUGAGCUUCUAAUCUGAAAAUUGGAGAAAAUAAUAAUAAAUAACUAUUAAAGUUGUUAAAUAAAAAGCAUUUUUAAGGUGCCUAGGGAAAUGCUUGCCAGAAAGCAGUGAUUCAAUGAAUAUAAGCUCUGUACUUGAAUUUGGAGUCUCCCUUGGUGAUUCAAAUUUAAUUAUUGAAAAGGCUAAUGGCUUCAAAAGUAGCCAUUUUAGAGAGUGAAUUCACAGCAGGGAGAAAAAACUCAAGCAGUUAUUCUUUCACAGAACUCCAAGAACAGGUCUUGGGCUAAUUUAUUCAAUUUAGUACCAAAUGGCCAUGGAACAGCAAUUUUAAAAAUUUUUCUCAUUUGUUUGGGUUCAUAUUUGACUUUGAUAAGUUCACAAGUGCAGAGAUUCUUUCAGCUUGAGAACAAGUUGAAUUUUCAUCAUAGAAACUUCAUAUCCAGCAGGUUGAUUGGCAACCAUUCUAAGGGAGAGAUCAGAAGCAGAAUAACAAGGUGGUGGCAAUUAAAGACCCAACUGUUGAGUAAGGAAAUUAGGUUGGAAUUUCAUCAUUGUGAAAUCUAUUUGACUUCCAUCAUCCUUACAACGUAUUAAACCUAGACUGUAUUAAAAAGCAGAGACAUCACUUUGCCGACCAAAGUCCAUACAGUCAAAGCUGUGGUUUUUCCAGUAGUUGUGUAUGGAUGUGAGCAUUGGACCAUAAAGAAGACUGAACUCCAAAUAAUUGAUACUUUCAAAUUGUGGUGCUGGAGAAGACUCUUUGAGAGUCCCUUUGGCCACCUGAUGUGAAGAGCUGACUCACUGGAAAAGCCCCUGAUGCUGGGAAAGAUUGAAGGCAAAAGGAAAAGGGGGCAGCAGAGGAUGAAAUGUUUGGGUAGACUCAGUGGACAUGAAUCUGAGCAAACUCUAGGAGAUAGUGAGGGACAGGGAAGCCUGGAGUGCUGCAGUCCAUGGGGUCGCAAAGAGUUGGACAUGACUUAUUGACUGAACAACAACAACAACAAAAAUUCUUACAUCAAGAAAAAAAAAUCAUGUCUAACUUUUCAAAAGAAUAAUUUUUGUAGGGGAAAGGAAAUGCUACAACAGCUUUUCGAAAGUACAUCCUCUGAAGUGGUGUAUAAAACAGUACUCUCUCUGACAUGUAAUUUGCCUUUAAACCAUUCACAAGAGUCUGAAUGGUGACUGUUACCCAAGUCUUUAUCUAAAAAAUUCAGUGAUAGGGCAGUAUCUGUACCUGGUGAAGUCUCUGAUGGAACAUCUAUUCAGCUAAGAAGACAUGGAGGUGAAGGCUUUUUCUGGGGUUCACAAUGAUACCACAGUUAAACCCAGCUUGUAAAAGCAGAGACUUACUGGUUUUCUAUCAUGCAUCUUGGAGUCCAUUUUGUUUUAAAAUCAUUGCAGCCUAGAUUUCUUUUACCUAUUUUCAAGUUGCAAUAAUUCUGAAAUAAUCAUUCACCAAUCACAACACAAAAUAUUCUCUAAGACUUUCACACUACUCUAUAAAACAGAGCAAUUCUAUGAUCAUAAAAAGCUUUAAACAUCUGAAUUGGGUCUGGGAAAGAGUACUGUGUAAUAUCUUUUCAGACUUGUAAAGCGCAGAGAAAUGGAUAGUAUUUGACAUAUGGAGUUGUUCAUUUUGCAGAACACUUGCUAUCAGAUGUUCUUAAAUAACAGGAUGAGGAACACAUGCUUAAUUAGCUCAAUUGUCUGUGGAUAACUGUGGUGAUGCUCAACUUUCCUUUCAGUUUCAAGUUUAUGAUGCCUUGGAAAUUCUCUCUGAAAUUUGCUCUAGCAUAUAAAGCUUGUACAUUGUGCUUUAAUAAAAUUAUCCAGCCCUAAUGAAAUCCUGCUGUAGUCCAUCAAAAUAUUUCUACUCAGCAAUAAUAUUAUCACAUAAAGCUAUACCCAUACCUUAAACUUACAAUUUUAUGGGCUAUGUUUUGAAGAUAUAAUAUUCUGCAAAUUUUAUUCAAUUGUGAACACAUUUUCCCCAUUACCUUUUAUUUUAAAAAAUUAUAACCUUUGCCUUUAAUAUUAGAUCUAAUAAUAUUAAUAUCUCUUUUGGUCAUCUAGUCAUUGAAUGGCUGUUUUAGGUGUCAUGAAAUCAAAUGCUUGUGAUAUCAACAGCAGGAAGAAGAAAUAAUUAUGGAGAAUUGGAACUGUUCCAGUGUAGCAGCAGGGGUCUCGUGUGUGCAUAUGUAUCAGUUUCCUGUUGCUGCUGUAACAAAUUGCCACAGACUUGUCUAGCUGAGGAAGAAGACGGCUCAGCAGCUAAAGAACCCACCUGCAAUGCAGGGGACAUGGGAGACGCAGGUUUGAUCCCUUAGUUGGGAAGAUCCCCUGGAGAAGGAAAUUUAAACCACUACAGCAUUGUUGCCUGGAAAAUCCCAUGAACAGAGGAAUCUGGUGGGCUACAGUUCAUGGGGUUGUAAGAGUUGAAUACAACUUAGGAAGUAAGCAAAAAAAAAAAAAAAAAAUUUAAGCAUGUCUGCACAACAGUGUGUGAACAACAUGGUAUGAGGAACAUUAUGUAGGGGGUGCUGAGGAGAUGAUCAGGGUAGGGUAAAAUAAGGUAGUUCUUGGGGAAAAAAAUAAGGAUCUGUAUUGAUGAGGGAAAUUUAAAAGAUGUUAUGAUUAGACAGAGUUAGCCUCUAAGCAGCAGGCAUAGGGAAGAACAGGGUGUGUAUUGAUAGGUACACUUGGAAGCUGAGCUUGCUGGGGUAGGAGGGAUCAGUUUGGGGCAGAUUAAAUGAUGCAGCGACACGGGUAAUACACAGCUUCAAGGCUUUCUUUAGAGUUUGGCUUUAUUUUGAUAAACAUUAAGUUGCUUUGGAUUCUUGGGCAAAAGAAACAGGUAGAUAUAACACUGGCUAAGAGAGUUAUUCUGAGAGUUAUCAUAACAGAAAUGAAAGCAUAAAGACCAGAAAGAUGACUCUUUCACUUAUCCAGGUGUGCAAUAAGGAGAAAUCUAUACUGAGAUGCUUGAUGUGGAUUGAAAAACAUCUAAAAGCCAUUUCAGAGAAAGGAUCAGCAGGGUUAGUGAAUGACUGGCUUGGAGGAACUAAUGAGAUAAAGGUAAUGAUAAGAUUUCAAGCCCAGGGACCAGGAGGAUGAUGGAAUCACGGGCUGAGAUACAUAGAUUUAGGUAAUUAAAAACAUUGGAUUAGAUGGCUUUUUUCCUCCCAAGGGAAAAGAACAUGGGGCCAAGGACCAGGCUUUAAGUCAUGCCUGUAUUAGAGCGGUAGGAAAAAGAUGAGGGAGUAGAGGAAGGGGGGAAAGCAGAACCAUCAUAUUAUGGUGCCUGGACAAUCAGGGAGGGGGGUAGUUUUUGGAUAAGAAAAAAAGUAUUCUGUGAUAACAAAUACAGUUUUGUUUUGUUUUUCCAACAUGAGAAUUGUUUGAUAGAGAAGGUGAGGGCAAGAUAAAGAAAACUUGUUCAAAAGAGUCAGCAAUGGAAUUUCGGGUAGAAAUGGAAUGCUCAUUAAAGGUGAGAAGAGAAGUUCCUAGAUUUGUUCAUCUUGAAAUGGUUGCAAGAUAGAAACAGGCCAUGGGAGAGCAGAGAGUGAUGUUCCUGAUGAGGUAGAUGUGAGAGAUGCCUUUGAAGUACGUGCCAGUUGACAGCAUCUUUCAGGCGUGCUUGCCUGCCUUUAGGAUGAGCCCAGGACACCAUGUCUGGUCUGUGACCUCACCCUACUGGCUGAAAUAUAUUUUCAGAGAGAAGGAAUGGGCACCUGACUCAACCUAGGUCAAUCAUACUCUCCUUUUCUCAAAAUUCCUCAGGGAGCUGGAGAAAUGUGUCAUUUAUUUCUGUGGAUGAUCAGGAAUGUGGACACUUAACCAUAGGUUCUGAAGGUAUUAAUUUAACUAUGUAUACGUACAUCACAGCAGUGAGAAUCAGUCCAGUGAUGAGAGAGAGAUAUGGGGAGCAGAGAGUCAGGGAGAAAAAUGCUAACACUCUGUUCCUGUUGGCUUUCUUUUCUCUACUUUGAACAUCUGAAGUUUUCCCUCUUCCUCUGGUUUUCUAUGUUUAAUUGUUACCUUUCCCACACAUUCUCUUCUUGGCUUACAAUCAGUUCAGAUCAGUCUCUCAGUCGUCUCCGACUCUUCACAACCCCAUGGAUGGCAGCAUGUCAGUCCUCCCUGUCCAUCACCAACUCCCGGCGUUUACUCAAACUCAUAUCCCUUGAGUCUGUGAUGCCAUCUAACCAUCUCAACUUCUGUCAUCCCCUUCUCCUCCUGCCUUCAAUCUUCCCCAGCAUCAGGGUAUUUUUCAAUGAGUCAUUUCUUCAAAUCAGGUGGCCAAAGUAUUGGAGUUUCAGCUUCAGCAUCAGUCUUCCAAUGAAUAUUCAAGACUGAUUUCCUUUAGGAUGGAUUGGUUGGAUCUCCUUGGAGUCCAAGGGACUCUCAAGAGUCUUCUCCAACACCACACUUCAAAAGCAUCAAUUCUUCGGUGCUCAGCUUUCUUUAUAGUCCAACUCUCACAUCCAUACACAACAACUGGAAAAACCAUAGCUUUGACAAGACAGACCUUUGUUGGCAAAGAAGCUGAAGUUGAAUGGUUCUAGUAGGUCUUGUAGGUCUUUAUAGAACCAUUCAACUUCAGCUUCUUCAGCAUUACUAUUUG
ensembl:lncRNA